AGGGGGCAAGCGUUGUUCGGAAUUACUGGGCGUAAAGGGCGCGUAGGCGGCCUUCUAAGUCGAACGUGAAAUCCCCGGGCUCAACCCGGGAACUGCGUCCGAGACUGGAAGGCUUGAAUCCGGGAGAGGGAUGUGGAAUUCCAGGUGUAGCGGUGAAAUGCGUAGAGAUCUGGAGGAACAUCGGUGGCGAAGGCGGCAUCCUGGACCGGUAUUGACGCUGAGGCGCGAAAGCCAGGGGAGCAAACGGG
rnacentral:rRNA from 1 species